AUCCGCUCAGUGAUAAGGAGUGGGGUGCAAAGACAGCCAGGAGGUUUGCCUAGAAGCAGCCACCCUUUCAAGAGAGCGUAAUAGCUCACUGCUCGAGCGCCCUUGCGCUGAAGAUGAACGGGGCUAAGCGAUCUGCCGAAGCUGUGGGAUGUCAAAAUGCAUCGGUAGGGGAGCGUUCCGCCUUAGAGGGAAGCAACCGCGAAAGCGGGGGUCGACGAAGCGGAAGCGAGAAU
rnacentral:ncRNA from 1 species